rnacentral:rRNA from 1 species
UGGGGAUCCGCAAGGACCUUCGCCCAGAGAGGAGCUCGAGGCCUAUCAGGUAGUUGGCGGGGUAACGGCCCGACCAAGCCUACGACGGGUACCCGGACUGAGAGGUCGGCCGGGCACACUGGCACUGAGACACUGGCCAGACUCCUACGGGAGGCUGCAGUCGAGAAUCUUCCGCAAUGGGGGCAACCCUGACGGAGCGACGCCGCGUGGAGGAAGAAGGCCUUCGGGUUGUAAACUCCUGUCACGACUUACGAAAAUGCAGCGUGUAACAUCGCUGCACUGACAAAGGGUCGGAAGGAAGCCACAGCUAACUUCGUGCCAGCAGCUGCGGUAAUACGAAGGUGGCAAGCGUUGUUCGGAUUCACUGGGCAUAAAGGGCGCGUAGGCGGUUCCGAAAGUGAUCUGUGAAAGCCCCCGGCUCAACCGGGGAAGUGCAGGUCAAACUUCGGUACUCGAGGCUGGGAGGGGAGACUGGAACUCUCGGUGGAGCGGUGAAAUGCGUAGAUAUCGAGAGGAACACCGGUGGC